GCUGUUUAUAUUGAUAGCACAUAGACAAAAUUAGAAUGAAAUGGCAAAGAUUAGCAUGGCUUCUGAUCAAGGACAACACAGAAAGUCGUGGAAUGUCCCAUAUUUAA
ensembl:snRNA U6 U6 spliceosomal RNA